CCUACGGGGGACAGCAGUGGGGAAUAUUGGGCAAUGGAGGCAACCCUGACCCAGCAACGCCGCGUGAGUGAUGAAGGUCUUCGGAUUGUAAAGCUCUGUGAGGGGGGAUGAAAAAAAUGACGGUACCCGACUAGCAAGCCACGGCUAACUACGUGCCCGCAGCCCCGGGAAUCCGGAGGGGGCAAGCGUUAUCCGGAAUGACUGGGGGUAAAGGGGGGGUAGGUGGUUGUGUAAGGUGGCGGGGUAAUUCCGGGGCCCAAACCCCGGGCUACCGUUGAAACUGUGGACCUAGAGUGCAGGAGAGGUAAGCGGAAUGCCUAGUGUAGCGGUGAAAUGCGUAGAUAUUAGGAGGAACAUCAGUGGCGAAGGCGGCUUACUGG
rnacentral:rRNA from 1 species